GAUGAAGAACGCAGCGAAACGCGAUAGGUAAUGUGAAUUGCAGAAUUCCGUGAAUCAUCGAAUCUUUGAACGCACAUUGCGCCUGCUGGUAUUCCGGUAGGCAUGCCUGUUUGAGCGUUAGCAAAACUCCUCAGCAAUUUAGUGCUGGUUAUGGGUAUAGAGUGGACUUUUCAGUUGCUUUUGCCUUAAACUUGCUGCACGACCGCAAGCUAAUGCUAGGUUAAUGGAGUGGUGUUUACAAAAUUCCAGCUACCUUUUUAGUAUAGCGAGUGGCGUUAAACCCGAUGUUGCCUCAGCUGCGACUGAAGUUUGACCUCAAAUCAGACAAGGAUACCCGCUGAACUUAAGCAUAUCAAUAAGCGGAGGA
rnacentral:misc_RNA from 1 species